rnacentral:rRNA from 1 species
AUGCCUUCGGGAUGAUUUGUUGGACGCUAGCGGCGGAUGGGUGAGUAACACGUGGGCAAUCUGCCCUAAAGACUGGGAUACCACUUGGAAACAGGUGCUAAUACCGGAUAACAACAUGAAUCGCAUGAUUCAAGUUUGAAAGGCGGCGCAAGCUGUCACUUUAGGAUGAGCCCGCGGCGCAUUAGCUAGUUGGUGGGGUAAAGGCCUACCAAGGCAAUGAUGCGUAGCCGAGUUGAGAGACUGAUCGGCCACAUUGGGACUGAGACACGGCCCAAACUCCUACGGGAGGCAGCAGUAGGGAAUCUUCCACAAUGGACGCAAGUCUGAUGGAGCAACGCCGCGUGAGUGAAGAAGGUCUUCGGAUCGUAAAGCUCUGUUGUUGGUGAAGAAGGAUAGAGGCAGUAACUGGUCUUUAUUUGACGGUAAUCAACCAGAAAGUCACGGCUAACUACGUGCCAGCAGCCGCGGUAAUACGUAGGUGGCAAGCGUUGUCCGGAUUUAUUGGGCGUAAAGCGAGCGCAGGCGGAAUGAUAAGUCUGAUGUGAAAGCCCACGGCUCAACCGUGGAACUGCAUCGGAAACUGUCAUUCUUGAGUGCAGAAGAGGAGAGUGGAACUCCAUGUGUAGCGGUGGAAUGCGUAGAUAUAUGGAAGAACACCAGUGGCGAAGGCGGCUCUCUGGUCUGCAACUGACGCUGAGGCUCGAAAGCAUGGGUAGCGAACAGGAUUAGAUACCCUGGUAGUCCAUGCCGUAAACGAUGAGCGCUAGGUGUUGGGGACUUUCCCGGUCCUCAGUGCCGCAGCAAACGCAUUAAGCGCUCCGCCUGGGGAGUACGACCGCAAGGUUGAAACUCAAGGAAUUGACGGGGGCCCGCACAAGCGGUGGAGCAUGUGGUUUAAUUCGAAGCAACGCGAAGAACCUUACCAGGUCUUGACAUCCUGCGCUACACCUAGAGAUAGGUGGUUCCCUUCGGGACGCAGAGACAGUGUGCAUGGCUGUCGUCAGCUCGUGUCGUGAGAUGUUGGGUUAGUCCCGCACGAGCGCACCCUUGUCUUUAGUGCAUCAUAAGUGGGCACCUCUAGAGAGAACUGCGGUGACAACCGAGAGGUGGGAUGA